rnacentral:sRNA from 1 species
AAGAAUGUCGGCCGCAGGGCCAGAGUGCCUGGGUUGAAUUCUAACUCUUACAUUUGCUUGCUGUGUGCCUUGGAUCACUUUUCUCCAGAGAAUGCAAAUGACACGGCCAAGGAAACAUGCCUAAAUUGGUUUUUCAAGAUUGCCUCCAUCAGGGAACUCAUUCCAAGAUUUUACGUGGAGGCAUCCAUCCUGAAAUGUAACAAAUUCCUCUCCAAAACGGGAAUUUCAGAGUGCCUGCCCCGGUUGACAUGCAUGAUCAGAGGGAUCGGAGACCCACUGGUGUCGGUGUAUGCCCGUGCCUACCUGUGCCGGGUGGGAAUGGAAGUGGCCCCACAUCUCAAAGAAACCCUAAAUAAGAACUUUUUUGACUUCCUCCUUACGUUCAAACAG